rnacentral:rRNA from 1 species
GACGAACGCUGGCGGCGUGCCUAAUACAUGCAAGUUGAGCGCUGAAGGUUGGUACUUGUACCAACUGGAUGAGCAGCGAACGGGUGAGUAACGCGUGGGGAAUCUGCCUUUGAGCGGGGGACAACAUUUGGAAACGAAUGCUAAUACCGCAUAAUAACUUUAAACACAAGUUUUAAGUUUGAAAGAUGCAAUUGCAUCACUCAAAGAUGAUCCCGCGUUGUAUUAGCUAGUUGGUGAGGUAAAGGCUCACCAAGGCGAUGAUACAUAGCCGACCUGAGAGGGUGAUCGGCCACAUUGGGACUGAGACACGGCCCAAACUCCUACGGGAGGCAGCAGUAGGGAAUCUUCGGCAAUGGACGAAAGUCUGACCGAGCAACGCCGCGUGAGUGAAGAAGGGUUUCGGAUCGUAAAACUCUGUUGGUAGAGAAGAACGUUGGUGAGAGUGGAAAGCUCAUCAAGUGACGGUAACUACCCAGAAAGGGACGGCUAACUACGUG